rnacentral:rRNA from 1 species
UACGUAGGGGGGCAAGCGUUGUCCGGAUUUAUUGGGCGUAAAGAGCGUGUAGGCGGCCAUACAGGUCAGCUGUGAAAACUCGAGGCUCAACCUCGGGCCUGCAGUGGGUACGGGCAGACUAGAGUGCGGUAGGGGAGAUUGGAAUUCCUGGUGUAGCGGUGGAAUGCGCAGAUAUCAGGAGGAACACCAAUGGCGAAGGCAGAUCUCUGGGCCGUAACUGACGCUGAGGAGCGAAAGCAUGGGGAGCGAACAGG